rnacentral:tRNA from 4 species
GCCCGGGUAGCUCAGUUGGUAGAGCAGCGGACUGAAAAUCCGCGUGUCGGUGGUUCGAGUCCGCCCCCGGGCACCA